UUUCCGGUUGAUCUUUGACAUUGACCUGACUGCUAUCGGAUUGAUACUAAGCCAUGCGAGUCAUUGUAGCAAUACAAGGCAGACGGCUCAGUAACGCGUAGUCAACCUACCCCAUGGACGGGGAUAACCUCGGGAAACUGAGAAUAAUACCCGAUAGAACAUUAUGCCUGGAAUGGUUUAUGUUUCAAAUAAUUUAUUGCCGUAGGAUGGGACUGCGGCCUAUCAGUUUGUUGGUGAGGUAAUGGCCCACCAAGACUAUUACAGGUACGGGCUCUGAGAGGAGUAGCCCGGAGAUGGGUACUGAGACACGGACCCAGGCCCUAUGGGGCGCAGCAGGCGAGAAAACUUUGCAAUGUGCGAAAGCACGACAAGGUUAAUCCGAGUGGUUUCUGCUAAAGGAACCUUUUGUCAGUCCUAGAAACACUGGUGAAUAAGGGGUGGGCAAGUUCUGGUGUCAGCCGCCGCGGUAAAACCAGCACCUCAAGUGGUCAGGAUGAUUAUUGGGCCUAAAGCAUCCGUAGCCUGCUUUGUUAGUUUUCGGUUAAAUCCAUACGCUCAACGUAUGGGCUGCCGGGAAUACUGCAAAGCUAGGGAGUGGGAGAGGUAGACGGUACUCGGUAGGAAGGGGUAAAAUCCUUUGAUCUAUUGAUGACCACCUGUGGCGAAGGCGGUCUACCAGAACACGUCCGACGGUGAGGGAUGAAAGCUGGGGGAGCAAACCGGAUUAGAUACCCGGGUAGUCCCAGCUGUAAACUAUGCAAACUCAGUGAUGCAUUGGCUUGAUGCCAAUGCAGUGCUGCAGGGAAGCCGUUAAGUUUGCCGCCUGGGAAGUACGUACGCAAGUAUGAAACUUAAAGGAAUUGGCGGGGGAGCACCACAAGGG
rnacentral:rRNA from 1 species